rnacentral:lncRNA from 1 species
AGCUCUUCAGUUGUAGAGCAGCCCAGAACAGCAUUUUCAUGUCCAGAUAUUGUCCAGAUAUUACAAGAUCCUGCUUCCUCUUCAGAAUGCUCUGGUGUCACUAUUGGCAGAGACCACCAGCCUCCAGGGCAGCCUCACCCAGCCUUCAGGAACUUCUUUCUGAGCAUCCUGACAGAACAAGAAGCCUUCUGUGUCCAAAAGAUGAUGCCCUUUCAGACUGCAUGUCCACCUGGCCCUGUGGUCAGGAUCCUGAAGUCUGUAACAUCUGCUUGGUUACCAUAACUGAAGAAGCGGUCAGCCACAUGGCCUCGGUCUCACCAAUGAACAGUGCUUCUGCAUUACCAGGCCUAAGAGCUGGUCCCCAAGUGGUCAACAUCAUGAACAUUCCUGGCCCUCAGAGAUACUUGUGUGGCACUCUAGU